rnacentral:rRNA from 1 species
GAUGAACGCUGGCGGCGUGCCUAAUACAUGCAAGUUGAGCGAAUGGAUUAAGAGCUUGCUCUUAUGAAGUUAGCGGCGGACGGGUGAGUAACACGUGGGUAACCUGCCCCGAACUCUGGGAUAACUGCUGGAAACGGUAGCUAAUACCGGAUAUGACCAAUGAAGGCAUCUUCUGUUGGUGGAAAGAAUUUCGGUUCGGGAUGGACUCGCGGCCUAUCAGCUUGUUGGUGAGGUAACGGCUCACCAAGGCGACGACGGGUAGCCGGCCUGAGAGGGUGAUCGGCAACACUGGGACUGGGACACGGCCCAGACUCCUACGGGAGGCAGCAGUGGGGAAUAUUGCACAAUGGGCGCAAGCCUGAUCCAGCCAUGCCGCGUGAGUGAUGAAGGCCUGAGGGUUGUAAAGCUCUUUCGUCCGGGACGAUAAUGACGGUACCGGAAGAAGAAGCCCCGGCUAACUUCGUGCCAGCCGCCGCCGUAA